AUAUUGGUCAAUGGACGCAAGUCUGAACCAGCCAUGCCGCGUGGAGGAUGAAGGUCCUCUGGAUUGUAAACUCCUUUUAUCUGAGAAGAAACCCAAGAUUUCUAUUUUGGUUGACGGUACCAGAUGAAUAAGCACCGGCUAACUCCGUGCCAGCAGCCGCGGUAAUACGGAGGGUGCAAGCGUUAUCCGGAUUCACUGGGUUUAAAGGGUGCGUAGGUGGGUUGCCAAGUCCGUGGUGAAAUCUCCGAGCUUAACUCGGAAACUGCCGUGGAUACUGGUAAUCUUGAAUAUCGUGGAGGUAAGCGGAAUAUGUCAUGUAGCGGUGAAAUGCUUAGAUAUGACAUAGAACACCGAUAGCGAAGGCAGCUUGCUACACGAUUAUUGACACUGAGGCACGAAAGCGUGGGGAGCAAAC
rnacentral:rRNA from 1 species